GAGACAUCCUUGGGACAUUGGGGACAUUGGGAGGGAUUUGGGACAUUGGGGACAUCCUUGGGACAUUGGGAAGAUCCUUGGGGACAUUGGGAGGGAUUUGGGACCUUGGGGACACGGUUGGGGACAUCGGGGACGCGUCCCCGGCGCCGGCGUGGCCUUCGCGCCCGGCACCAACUGCACCGUCACCGGAUGGGGACACGUCCGCACCGACGGUGGGUGGCACCCAUGGGGACAUCCUUGGGGACAUCCUUGGGGCGUUGGGGACAUCGUUGGGAUCAUUGGGGACAUCAUUGGAGACAUCAUUGGGACAUUGGGGACAUUGUUGGGAUCAUUGGGGACAUCCUUGGAGACAUCCUUGGGGUGUUGGGGACAUCACUGGGGACAUUGGGGACAUCGUUGGUGACAUCGUUGGGACAUUGGGGACAUUGUUGGGAUCAUUGGAGACAUCAUUGGAGACAUCAUUGGGACAUUGGGGACAUCAACGGGGACAUUGGGAGGGAUUUGGGACAUUGGGAACAUCAUUGGGGACAUUGUUGAUGGCAUCAUUGGGACAUUGGGAAGAUCCUUGGGGACAUUGGGGGUGAUUUGGGACCUUGGGGACACGGUUGGGGACAUCGGGGACGCGUCCCCGGCGCCGGCGUGGCCUUCGCGCCCGGCACCAACUGCACCGUCACCGGAUGGGGACACUUCCGCACCGACGGUCGGUGGCACCCAUGGGGACAUUUGGGACAUCCUUGGGGUGUUGGGGACAUCAACGGGGACAUUUGGGACAUCCUUGGGGCAUUGGGGACAUCGUUGGGGACAUCGUUGGGGCAUUGGGAACAUCAACGGGGACAUCCUUGGGGUGU
rnacentral:lncRNA from 1 species